ACAACAAUGAAACCACCACCACCAAUGACAAGUAUUAUUACCAAAUUUAAUUAAAUGAAUUGUAUUUUAGGUUCCAUGAAUUAUAUGCAUUUUAUUAUUUUACACAGCAACUUAAUGAGGUGGCCAAAUAAACAAACAACAGUCAAUGAGCUGUUCUGCAGAUAAAGACUGAAGUUCAGAGAAAUGAGCUUACUUCCUCAAGAUCACGCAGGCACUUCCCUCAACAAAUCUCUUGAAUUUCUAAUCUCGUCUUUGCGUCAGAGAAAAUGAGAGGGAGAAUAAAGGAAGGGUUGAAAGUUCUGAUUGCUUGGGAAAUACUUUCGAUGCUGGACACCUGGUGGCACCAGGUGGGUCCUGAAGGAGAGCCGGAGCCAAGAGUUUGAGCUCCUUUAAAGUGAAGGUAGUAAUGCUUGCCUUGCAGUGUUUUG
rnacentral:lncRNA from 1 species